rnacentral:rRNA from 1 species
GGAGUUAGCCGGUGCUUCUUCUGUGAGUGAUGUCCUUCCUGCCGGCUAUUAACCCGCAGGCCUUCUUCCUCACUGAAAGUGCUUUACAACCCGAAGGCCUUCUUCACACACGCGGCAUGGCUGGAUCAGGGUUGCCCCCAUUGUCCAAUAUUCCCCACUGCUGCCUCCCGUAGUAGUCUGGGCCGUGUCUCAGUCCCAGUGUGGCUGAUCAUCCUCUCAGACCAGCUACGGAUCGUCGCCUUGGUGAGCCGUUACCUCACCAACCAGCUAAUCCGACAUAGGCUCAUCCGAUAGCGCGAGGCCCGAAGGUCCCCCGCUUUCCCCCGUAGGGCGUAUGCGGUAUUAGCCUGGGUUUCCCCAGGUUAUCCCCCACUACCGGGCAGAUUCCUAUGCAUUACUCACCCGUCCGCCGCUCGCCACCAGGGAGCAAGCUCCCCGUGCUGCCGCUCGACUUGCAUGUGUUAGGCCUGCCGCCAGCGUUCAAUCUGAGCCAGAUCAAACUCUGA